rnacentral:rRNA from 1 species
CCUACGGGGGGCAGCAGUGGGGGAUAUUGCACAAUGGGGGAAACCCUGAUGCAGCAACGCCGCGUGAGUGAAGAAGUAUUUCGGUAUGUAAAGCUCUAUCAGCAGGGAAGAGAAUGACGGUACCUGACUAAGAAGCCCCGGCUAACUACGUGCCAGCAGCCGCGGUAAUACGUAGGGGGCGAGCGUUAUCCGGAUUUACUGGGUGUAAAGGGAGCGUAGACGGCUGGUCAAGUCUGAAGUGAAAGCCCGGGGCUUAACCCCGGAACGGCUUUGGAAACUGAGCAGCUAGAGUGCUGGAGAGGUAA